rnacentral:rRNA from 1 species
AGUCAACGCUGGCGGCGUGCCUCAGACAUGCAAGUCGAACGAUUAAAGCUCUCUUCGGAGAGUGUAUAGAGUGGCGCACGGGUGAGUAACACGUAAGUAAUCUACCUUUGAGUGGGGAAUAACAGUCGGAAACGACUGCUAAUACCGCAUAAUGCAGCGGCAUCGCAAGAUGACAGUUGUUAAAGGAGCAAUCCGCUUAAAGAGGAGCUUGCGGCAGAUUAGCUAGUUGGUAAGGUAAUGGCUUACCAAGGCUACGAUCUGUAUCCGGUCUAAGAGGACGGUCGGACACACUGACACUGAAUAACGGGUCAGACUCCUACGGGAGGCAGCAGUCGGGAAUUUUGGGCAAUGGGCGAAAGCCUGACCCAGCAACGCCGCGUGAAGGAUGAAGUAUUUCGGUAUGUAAACUUCGAAAGAAUAGGGAAGAAUAAAUGACGGUACCAUUUAUAAGGUCCGGCUAACUACGUGCCAGCAGCCGCAGUAAU